GACUGUUUAAAAAAAAAAAAAAACAAAACAAAAAAAAGAGAUUUGUGCAAACGCUGCAGAGAGAUGGUGUGUGCAUGUGAGUACAGCUGCGGUAAAUUCAGACUCUUACCUCUAUCCUGCUUGCUGCCGUUGCUACCACCAUCUGGGGAGUUCUGGGCCAGCCAAGCCCAGGCUACAGAGUGAGAUAGGAGGGUGGUAAGUAGGGGCAGGGGGGGGGGAGUGCAAGCUUCCUAUACAGAGCUCUGAGAGACUCUCUAGUUCACAAGGCACCAAAUAACUAGAAUGACUUAUAUAUAGGCUGUAGUUCAGCUAGUCCAACAAUGGCUGCUUGCACAAGGAAAGUACAAAAAAACCUUUGACCUAACAUGUGUCCUGUCUACAAGAAGUGCAGGGACAAAGAUGGAGCAGAGACUGAAAGAAUGCCCAACCAAUAAGUGGCCCAACUUGAGACUCAUCCAUGGGCAAGCGCCAAUUCCUGACACUAUUAACGAUACUCUGCUAUGCUUGUAGACUGGAACCUAGUGUGACUGUCUUCUGAGAGGCUCCCCUGAGCAGCUGAAUGAAACAGAUGCAGAGAGACCCACAGACAAACACUGGACAGAGCUCAGGAGUCUUGUGAAGGAGUUGGGAGAAGGAUCAGGGGAUCUGGAGGGGGUAGGAACUCCACAGGAAGACCAACAGAGUCAAUUACCUAUACCCUUGGAGGCUCCCAGAGACUGGACCACCAGCCAAAAAGCAUACACGGGCUGGACCUAGGUCCCCUGGCACAGAUGUGCAGCAGAUGUAUGGCUUGGUCUUCAUGCAGGUCCCCUAACAGUAAGAGCCGGAGCUGUCCCUGACCCUGUUCCCUGCCUGCCUCGUCUGGCCUCAAUAGGAAGGGAUGUGCCAGGGCUUCCAGCAGAAAACAUGUCCCAGAUUAUAAGACCCACCACUAAAGAUCUGGAUGAAAGGUGUGUCAAAGACCCAGACUACCAGACUAGAAGUGGAUCUUCUCACUUCAAAUGAUUUAAUUAAGCAAAAAUAAAAUAAAAUAAAAUAAAAAAAAUUUUUUUCUUCA